rnacentral:rRNA from 1 species
CCUACGGGUGGCAGCAGUGGGGGAUAUUGCACAAUGGGGGAAACCCUGAUCCAGCGACGCCGCGUGGGUGAAGGAGCGUUUCGGCUUGUAAAGCCCUAUCGGCCGGGAAGAAGAUGACGGUACCUGUCCAAGAAGCCCCGGCUAACUACGGGACAGGAGCCGCGGGUAUACGGCGGGGGCAAGGGUUAUCCGGAUUUACUGGGGGUAAAGGGGGCCGAGGCGGCGAUGCCAGCCAGGCGUGAAAGCCCGGGGCCCAACCCCGGGACUGCACUUGGAACUGCAUGGCUGGAGUACAGGAGGGGCAGGCGGAAUUCCUAGUGUAGCGGUGAAAUGCGUAGAUAUUAGGAGGAACACCGGUGGCGAAGGCGGCCUGCUGGACUGUGACUGACGUUGAGGCCCGAAGGCGUGGGGAGCAAACAGGAUUAGAUACCCUGGUAGUC